CUCAGGGCUUUGGAUUUCAGAGCUAGAAGCAGCCAGUCUGCAGGGAUAUCCCGGAUCGCUGCUUCGUCUCAGCCUCCCCUGGAACCCUUCCAGUGAAGCUCACCCCUUUGUGAGGAAGUCUGCUCCGUUUCCACUCAGCCAAGGCUACACACACUUCGUGAACAGCGGGACCUCCUAACCUGUAAGUUGCCACCCCCUCCCCCGCCUGCCCCUAUUGGGAGGGAGAAGCCGCUUGGGCAGCAGAGGCGAAGACGGCUUCGUAGAGCAGCCUGGCCCGCGUGACAAAGCCGAGUCUGUCUGGUAUCGGCUCCAGCUGUCAGUCACUGGCUAUCCUUGUUUCAAGGGCAGCACUGCGCCUUGAGAGCUCCUGUUCCCUGGCCGAUGAAGCAGCUGGAAGAAACAUGAUCUAGGCAUCCAGAGGCCCGUGCAAAAUGCAAGACCGAGCUGAGUGUCCUAGGGGAAGCUGACCGAGGGCUUGGCGGGGUGGGUGCUCUCACGUGUCCUCGUCACCACGUGGCAUUCACCUUUGUCUUCUGGUUGGUUUCUCGUGUUUCUCUUCUCAGCAGGGUGGGGAAUUGUGCAACCGGUUUUAUUUUCUGAUGCAAUGUGGGGUUGUCCUGUCUUACUUAACUAAAUGAGCUCACCGAAAA